GACGAACGCUGGCGGCGUGCUUAACACAUGCAAGUCGAACGGAAAGGCCCUGCUUUUGUGGGGUGCUCGAGUGGCGAACGGGUGAGUAACCCGUGAGUAACCUGCCCUUGACUUUGGGAUAACUUCAGGAAACUGGGGCUAAUACCGGAUAGGAGCUCCUGCUGCAUGGUGGGGGUUGGAAAGUUUCGGCGGUUGGGGAUGGACUCGCGGCUUAUCAGCUUGUUGGUGGGGUAGUGGCUUACCAAGGCUUUGACGGGUAGCCGGCCUGAGAGGGUGACCGGCCACAUUGGGACUGAGAUAAGGCCCAGACUCCUACGGGAGGCAGCAGUGGGGAAUAUUGCACAAUGGGCGGAAGCCUGAUGCAGCAACGCCGCGUGCGGGAUGACGGCCUUCGGGUUGUAAACCGCUUUCGCCUGUGACGAAGCGUGAGUGACGGUAAUGGGUAAAGAAGCACCGGCUAACUACGUG
rnacentral:rRNA from 1 species